rnacentral:rRNA from 1 species
CUUGGUCAUUUAGAGGAAGUAAAAGUCGUAACAAGGUUUCCGUAGGUGAACCUGCGGAAGGAUCAUUAAAGAGACGUUGCCCUUCGGGGUAUACCUCCCACCCUUUGUUUAUUUAUACCUUUGUUGCUUUGGCAGACCCGGCUUCGGCCCACCGGCUCCGGCUGGUCAGUGUCUGCCAGAGGACCUAAAACUCUGUUUGUUAAUAUUGUCUGAGUACUAUAUAAUAAUUACAACUUUCAACAACGGAUCUCUUGGUUCUGGCAUCGAUGAAGAACGCAGCGAAAUGCGAUAAGUAGUGUGAAUUGCAGAAUUCAGUGAAUCAUCGAAUCUUUGAACGCACAUUGCGCCCUUUGGUAUUCCAAAGGGCAUGCCUGUUCGAGCGUCAUUUGUACCCUCAAGCUUUGCUUGGUGUUGGGCGUCUUGUCUCUAGCUUUGCUGGAGACUCGCCUUAAAGUAAUUGGCAGCCGGCCUACUGGUUUCGGAGCGCAGCACAAGUCGCACUCUCUAUCAGCAAAGGUCUAGCAUCCAUUAAGCCUUUUUUUCAACUUUUGACCUCGGAUCAGGUAGGGAUACCCGCUGAACUUAAGCAUAUCAAUAAGCGGAGGA